CAUUACACCCCUCGAGCUCAGCUCGGUAUUGAGGGAAUCGCCCGCCCGGGCGCCCUUGAAAUUUAGCGGUGACUUGGUUGGUCCUCGAGCGAAUAAAACUUUCAAACGUUCCGCUUUAGAAGACUCAAGCUGGUCUGCCGGAUAAACUACAUAAAUCUACGAUUGACCUCGGAUCAGGUAGGGAUACCCGCUGAACUUAA
rnacentral:misc_RNA from 1 species